rnacentral:misc_RNA from 1 species
GUUAUGUCUAACAGCCAGUUAGCUGCCAUGAUGUCUAUGUCCGGGAUGCAACAGGCCUUAACAAAUCAGUUCCCUGAUCUAGAACUAAAGAGACCUAUUGAACUUAACCCCUUUACAAGUGUGUUUGACACUUUGAAGAAGCUUCUUGAACUCUAUUUCAAAUAGAAAAUGAAAUUAUGUAUAUUGUGGGCAGAUUUUAUUUGC